rnacentral:tRNA from 1 species
GGCUUAGUGGUCCAAUGGAAAAGCGCUCGUCGCGGUACCACAGAGUCCUGGGUUCGAUCCCCAGCAGGGUCG